CCUACGGGAGGCAGCAGUGGGGAAUAUUGCACAAUGGGGGAAACCCUGAUGCAGCGACGCCGCGUGAGUGAAGAAGUAUCUCGGUACGUAAAGCCCUAUCAGCAGGGAAGAAAAUGACGGUACCUGACUAAGAAGCCCCGGCUAACUACGUGCCAGCAGCCGCGGUAAUACGUAGGGGGCAAGCGUUAUCCGGCUUUUCUGGGGGUAAAGGGAGCGUAGACGGCAGCACAAGUCUGGAGUGAAAUCCCGGGGCGUAACCCCGGAACUGCUUUGGAAACUGUGCGGCUGGAGUGAGGGAGGGGUAAGCGGAAUUCCUGGUGUAGCGGUGAAAUGCGUAGAUAUUAGGAGGAACACCGGUGGCGAAGGCGGCUUACUGGACUGUAACUGACGUUGAGGCUCGAAAGCGUGGGGAGCGAACAGGAUUAGAUACCCUUGUAGUC
rnacentral:rRNA from 1 species